rnacentral:rRNA from 1 species
GUGGAUUAGAUACCCUAGUAGUCCUGGCCGUAAACGAUGGGUACUAGGUGUAGGAGGUAUCGACCCCUUCUGUGCCGGAGUUAACGCAAUAAGUACCCCGCCUGGGGAGUACGACCGCAAGGUUGAAACUCAAAGGAAUUGACGGGGGCCCGCACAAGCGGUGGAGUAUGUGGUUUAAUUCGACGCAACGCGAAGAACCUUACCAGGUCUUGACAUUGAUGGACAGAACUAGAGAUAGUUCCUCUUCUUCGGAAGCCAGAAAACAGGUGGUGCACGGCCGUCGACAGCU